rnacentral:rRNA from 1 species
AUUGAGCGCUGGCGGCGUGCCUAACACAUGCAAGUCAAGCGGUAACAGGUGUAGCAAUACAUGCUGACGAGCGGCGAACGGGUGAGUAAUGCUUCGGAAUCUACCUUAUGGUGGGGAAUAACUAGCCGAAAGGUUAGCUAAUACCGCAUACGUCCUACGGGAGAAAGCAGGGGAUGGCAAGACCUUGCGCCAAAAGCGGAGCCGAAGUCGGAUUAGCUAGUUGGUAGGGUAACGGCCUACCAAGGCGACGAUCCGUAGCUGGUCUGAGAGGACGACCAGCCACACUGGGACUGAGACACGGCCCAGACUCCUACGGGAGGCAGCAGUGGGGAAUAUUGGACAAUGGGGGAAACCCUGAUCCAGCGACGCCGCGUGUGUGAAGAAGGCCUGCGGGUUGUAAAGCACUUUUAGUGGGGAUGAAAUGUGCAGGGUUAAUACCUCUGCAUUUUGACCUAACCCACAGAAAAAGCACCGGCUAACUCUGUGCCAGCCGCCGCCGUAA